GAUGAACGCUGGCGGCGUGCCUAAUACAUGCAAGUCGAGCGAACAGAUAAGGAGCUUGCUCCUUUGACGUUAGCGGCGGACGGGUGAGUAACACGUGGGUAACCUACCUAUAAGACUGGGAUAACUUCGGGAAACCGGAGCUAAUACCGGAUAACAUUUGGAACCGCAUGGUUCUAAAGUGAAAGAUGGUUUUGCUAUCACUUAUAGAUGGACCCGCGCCGUAUUAGCUAGUUGGUAAGGUAACGGCUUACCAAGGCGACGAUACGUAGCCGACCUGAGAGGGUGAUCGGCGACACUGGAACUGAGACACGGUCAAGACUCCUACGGGAGGCAGCAGUAGGGAAUCUGCCGCAAUGGGCGAAAGCAUGACGGAGCAACGCCGCGUGAGUGAUGAAGGGGUUCGGCUCGUAAAACUCUGUUAUUAGGGAAGAACAAACGUGUAAGUAACUGUGCACGUCGUGACGGUACCUAAUCAGAAAGCCACGGCUAACUACGUG
rnacentral:rRNA from 1 species